GCGGACGUGGUGGAAUGGUAGACACCGGAGACUUAAAAUCUCCUGGCCGUAUGGCCGUGCGGGUUCGAGUCCCGCCGUCCGCA
rfam:Leisingera methylohalidivorans DSM 14336 strain MB2, DSM 14336, complete genome.